rnacentral:misc_RNA from 1 species
GAAAUGCGAUACGUAAUGUGAAUUGCAGAAUUCAGUGAAUCAUCGAAUCUUUGAACGCACAUUGCGCCCGCCAGCACUCUGGCGGGCAUGCCUGUUCGAGCGUCAUUUCAACCCUCAGAACCCCUUGCGGGAUCUGGCGUUGGGGAUUUGCAUCCAGCCAGCCCCGAAAUCUAGUGGCGGUCCCUCCGCGACCUCCCCUGUGCAGUAGCGAUACCUCGCAGCGGGACAGCGGUCUGACCACGCCGUAAAACCCCCAACUUCUCAAGGUUGACCUCGAAUCAGGUAGGAAUACCCGCUGAACUUAAGC